UAGUGGCGAACGGGUGAGUAACACGUGGGUGAUCUGCCCUGCACUCUGGGAUAAGCCUGGGAAACUGGGUCUAAUACCGGAUAGGAGCCACCUUUAGUGUGGUGGUUGGAAAGUUUUUCGGUGUAGGAUGAGCUCGCGGCCUAUCAGCUUGUUGGUGGGGUAAUGGCCUACCAAGGCGGCGACGGGUAGCCGGCCUGAGAGGGUGUACGGCCACAUUGGGACUGAGAUACGGCCCAG
rnacentral:rRNA from 1 species